rnacentral:rRNA from 1 species
CAAUAGCGUAUAUUUAAGUUGCUGCAGUUAAAAAGCUCGUAGUUGGAUUUCGGGUGGGAAUGGCCGGUCCGCCGUUUCGGUGUGCACUUGCUACGCCCACCUUGCUGCCGGGGACGUGCUCUUGAGUUCACGCUCGGGACACGGAGUCGGCGAGGUUACUUUGAGUAAAUUAGAGUGUUCAAAGCAGGCCUACGCUCUGAAUACAUUAGCAUGGAAUAACACGAUAGGACUCUGGCCUAUCUUGUUGGUCUGUAGGACCGGAGUAAUGAUUAAGAGGGACAGUCGGGGGCAUUCGUAUUUCAUUGUCAGAGGUGAAAUUCUUGGAUUUAUGAAAGACGAACUACUGCGAAAGCAUUUGCCAAGGAUGCCUUCAUUAA